UCUUCUAUCUCUUGUCUCUCCCGUCUGCCUCUCUCCACGGUCUUGUUCUUCCACCAUUGCCUUCACCACGGCCAUAGACAGAGAGACUCUGUCUCUUGCAUCUCCCUCUCUCCAUGCUCUCCCUCUCCCGUCUCUUUCUUUCUCCUCCCUUCUUCUAGGUCAGAGGGAUUUGGGUUUUAAUUUUAGGGUUAUUGAUUUGGGGUUACUGAUUUGGGUUUUAUCUAACCAUUUGGGUGUUGGCUUGCGGUUGCUCUACCUCGAUCAACAAAGAUGCUUAGCUUUGUCAUCUCUCUUGCCCUCUACGGCUGUUGCACUCACUCUGAAGCUUUGAUAGUUACUAUCUUGCUAAGAAGAAAAUUCCUUCUAUCCAUGGAAAUACAAUGGGAGUAAAACUACAGCAGUUCAUAUUUGAUGCGUUUCCAUACGCACCUUCAACUACACUUUUUGAGAGAUUGUUGUGUAGUUUUUAGCCUAAAAAUACAAACCAAAAAGUGGAGAAGUGGCUGCAGAGAUAGUUGUUUCCUGAGCCACGCCGCUCCUGUUUAUUGCUUUGCUCCUCAUGAGCCUUCAAACCCUUAACUUGAGUUGAGAGUUGAGAUCUUCAGCCCUCCUUUGGACUUGGGCUCCAAAACUGAAAAGUAUUUGCAGCCCUUGAGUUGAGAGUUGAUAUCACUCUUGCUUUGCAUUCAAACAGAGGUAUAGUCUUCAAACCUUGAAUUCAGUUUUGGUCUCUUUUUCUGCAUUUGAAUAUUUGUGCCAUUUCUGGAUUUUUUGUAUGACGUUUUCUGCAAUAUUGAUAAAACUAAAUAAAAAUAUAGUUUGGUGAUUAUUGAAAACUGAUGGGUAUAUUUUAUAUUAUAUAUUUAACCUCAUUCUUAGUAUAUUUUGGUUAAUAUUUUGGAAGAAUUUUGAUACUUUGAAUUAUAUUUUCAAUAUAGGACUUUUGAUUUCCUCUGGAGCAAAACGUAAUCAAAUGGACAAAUUUUGGAGUAAUUCCAGUUGGAGGACGUUCGUGAGCCACUUAGCAUGAUCGUAUCAAAAUUUCAGAUUUUUCUACCAAGCGGUUAUUUUCUGGCGAUAAAAUAAAGGAGCAGUGCCCGGUGCUGGAAUAGUGAUAUUUUGGGCUUUUAUUGCAUUUUUAGAGCCCAAAAUGACCUCGGAUGGGUUCGUGGCCUUCUGAAGAAGUGUUCAGAAUAUUUUUAUCUUUAAAACAAGCUAUCUUGGGCCAGAUUUGGAGGAGAUUUGAGGCUAAAACGUGGCUGGGCAGAUUGUAGGCAAAUUCUCCUAAUCCAAUUUGGACUUUAUUUCCUAGUAUUAUUUUAUUUUACUUAGUUUCCUUGUGGGGAUAGAAAAGUUGUACAUUGGCAGCUAGGUUUUAAGGGGUAUUUAAGCUCUUUCUCACAACAAUUUUAAGGACUUCUUUUUGGCUCUGGAACGUAGAGAGCAAUUGCUAGGGUUUUGGGUUUUCAGCGACUUUCAAGUGUUUUCAUUCUUAUUCAUUUGAAUGAUAUUUUCUUUGAUUUUAAUUA